GAUAAGACCCCGUGCACCUUUACUCUAACUUACUAUUGGGUUUGGCUGCAGCAUGCGUAGGAUAGGUGGGAGACUUCGAAGCAGGACUCGUGGGUCUUGUGGAGUCAGCGGUGAAAUACCACCCUUGUUGUAGCUGGAUUCUAACCCGGCGGAGUGGAUCCGCGGGGACAGUGGUAGGCGGGGAGUUUGACUGGGGCGGUCGCCUCCUAAAAUGUAACGGAGGCUUACAAAGGUCACUUCAGCACGGUCGGUAAUCGUGCAAAGAGUGCAAAGGCAUAAGGUGGCUUAACUGUGAGACUUACAAGUCGAGCAGAUGCGAAAGCAGGUCUUAGUGAUCCGGCGGCUCCAAGUGGAAGGGCCGUCGCUCAAAGGAUAAAAGGUACGCCGGGGAUAACAGGCUGAUCUUGCCCAAGAGUUCAUAUCGACGGCAAGGUUUGGCACCUCGAUGUCGGCUCACCGCAUCCUGGGGCUGGAGAAGGUCCCAAGGGUUUGGCUGUUCGCCAAUUAAAGCGGUACGCGAGCUGGGUUCAGAACGUCGUGAGACAGUUCGGUCCCUAUCCAGUGUGGGCGCAGGAUAUUUGAGAAGAUCCGUUUCUAGUACGAGAGGACCGAAAUGCCCGGACCUACGGUGAAUCUGUUGUAACACCAGUUGCAUCGCAGAGUAGCCACGUCCGGAAAGGAUAAGCGCUGAAAGCAUCUCAAGCGCGAAACCUACUUCAAGAUAAGAUAUCCCAUAGUGCAAACUAGUAAGAAUCCAGAGAGACUAUCUGGUUGAUAGGCCAUACGUGUAAGUAUAGUAAUAUAUUCAGCGGAAUGGUACUAAUAAUUCGAGGGCUUACUGUAAUUAUUCUCU
rnacentral:rRNA from 1 species